CAUAAACAUAAAAAUGAGCUCAAAUGAGGAAAGGGAAAAGACAAUAUGAAUAAAUGAGCAAGAAAUUAAAUUGCAUUAAAGUAAAUUGCAAGAAUUAAAUGCUUGAAUUAAAAGUUAGUAAUUAGUAGUUAGUGUUAGUGUGUCAUAAGGUAAUUUAGCGCUAUGUUAAGCAAUCGUAAGUGGACUAAUGUAGUAGUUACACCUAUCUGAGGCCGUUCAAUAAAACUAUAGGCAACUAAACACAAGUUAGAGACCAUGACUAGUAAGCCAAGCUUCUACAACUUGCCAUGCCAAAAGAAAAGAAGG
rnacentral:lncRNA from 1 species